rnacentral:lncRNA from 1 species
CUUCCAAUGGAUCUUUGUUCAUCUCCUUUCUUAUGAUGUUAUGGAGAAGACAUCAUGCCAUAAUGAUUCGUUUUUGUAUCUUAUCAGGAAGAAAGGGCUCCUUAGAAUUGCCCAACAUGGCUUAAAGCUAGCAGACCAAACAUCUCUCUUACAUGUUUCAAGCUGCUGAAUGCUUUAGUUUAAAAUCUCCAGCAUAUUUGGUUGAUACCCUUCCCUUGAUAAAUUUAAAUGAUACCAUCGCCCUCUCAAUGGUACAAGGAAUCCCUUUCCAUUCAUGUAUCUAGCA